rnacentral:tRNA from 1 species
GGGGCUGUAGCUCAGCUGGGAGAGCGCUUGAAUGGCAUUCAAUAGGUCGUGAGUUCGAUCCUCAUCAGCUCCACAA